rnacentral:rRNA from 1 species
UACGGAGGGUGCAAGCGUUAUCCGGAUUCACUGGGUUUAAAGGGUGCGUAGGUGGGUUUGUAAGUCAGUGGUGAAAUCUCCGUGCUUAACAUGGAAACUGCCAUUGAUACUAUAGAUCUUGAAUUUUCUGGAGGAUAGCGGAAUAUGUCAUGUAGCGGUGAAAUGCUUAGAUAUGACAUAGAACACCAAUUGCGAAGGCAGCUAUCUGCAGGGAUAUUGACGCUGAGGCACGAAAGCGUGGGGAUCAAACAGG